AGAGAUGCUACAUAUGAAGAGAUUAGUUUGUUGUAUAUUUCCCAAUUUGGAAAUCAUUUGGUUACACUGCAAAUUGAAAUCAUUUGGUUACCCUGCUUUGAAUUUGCUUGCAAAUUAUUACGUGUCCUAGGUUGAAGAACAGAAGGUUAAUGGUGAUGCGUUCCAGAUGUUCAAUGAAAUGCCAAAGGGAGAUAUGCAUACCAAAUGUUUGAUGUAAUAACUAAUAGAAACUUGGUUUUUUCUUGUUGUUUGUGCUUCAUGUGAUUCCAACUCUAUACCAAAGAAAGAACAAUUAGCAUGUUCUUUUUUGGCAGUAUUGGACAUUUUAGUUGCGACCUUGCUUUGCAUCCUCUAAUGCUUUUAUUUACUGUUUAGUGCAGGGAUGUGUGCUCAACGUGGCAAAGUAGGCAUCUUCAAGAAUGAUGGGAAAAACUGAUGCAGGCUAAUGCAAGGGGUUCUGGCAUAGUUGAUGUAAGCUGAAGCAGGGGGUUCUGGCAUAGGAUGAGAAUUGGAUGUAGGAAAUUCGCUUCUAUUAUUAUUAUUUUUUUCUUAAAAAUCUGUGUGAAUUUUCUGCUCAUGGGAUUUUUUCUACUUGAAAGAAAGGGAGUUUGGAAUUUAAGUUGCCAGAAGUGCCCUUAUGAAGGGUUUAAUGCCUUUUCAGUAACUGUUUAAUGCCCGUCUCACUUAAAUGAUAUUGAAUAAAGAAAAUCAGAGAUACUUUCUUAGGCAUUCCACAAGGACCUAUCGUGCAUAUUGGAGCCACUGUGCAGUAUUUUGCUCCUUUGCUUACUCAACAAGCCUGUUAGAUCAUGAGGGGCCUUUUUUCUUCCACUAUGCAGUAUUCUGCUUAUUCAAGGUCGAUUCAGGUGUAUUGGAAACUGGAAUAUUUAUAUUCAUUGGUUUUGGAUGCUUUGGAGUUCAUUUCUCAAAAGAGGUUUGAAUUCUGACUGUUGUUCUGCUUCCUUUGUCAUAUUCAAUUAGGUGCAAAUUUAUAGAAGGAUUUCAAACAUUUAUUUUAAUAAUUCAUUGGAUAUUGUUUAGUGGAAUUCAUCCUUUUAUUUGUUAUUUCUGGUGCAAGGUGUCGACCCAAGAAUCAAGGUGGAGGUUUGGCCAAGAACAGCUAAAGGCGCAAAGAUAUUUAGUGCUGCAGUAGCUGCCACCAUUGAUAGUCCACAAACUGGGAAAGAUGGUGAAGAAAAGCUGAAAAUGCAUACACACUCUUACUGCUGCUUAGAUCAUGCUCAGCUUACUUCAUUGAGAAACAAAUUCCAUGGUGGAUGAUACAAGUCAAUUGGGUGUGGCUAGUCCUGCUCUAUUUGCGUUGUGGCUAACAGUGGGGUGUGUGUACUAAGGUGCUAACCAAAGAAAAGUCCUGCUCUAUUUGUUGUUGCCUCUUAUUAUUUAUAUCUUGAAAGGAUAUUGUCCUGGUUUCUCACCUUCCAUGAAGUUGUUGUCGCUGAUGUCAAAUGUUUUAGAAUUUUACUUUUUGGAUGCCAGUUCGGACACUGCCCUGCGUAUUUCAUUCUGAUGAGAUUCUUUCUCCUUUGGCAGUUGAAACCAGUUAGUGUGGUCAUCGAUUUCACUGACCCAUCAAUGGUUUAUGACAAUGUGAAACAGGUUGGUUUUGUUUAGAACUUAGAACUUGAACUUGUCAUGUGGCAUGCUAUUAACAUAUACUCACAGAGAUAGGAAUUUCCUGAAUAAUCCACCAUUCAAUAUACAUUGUGCUAUGUAGUUGUUUGAUUCGGUGACUUCCAAUCGCGGGAAUUUCCCGUGUCUUGAAUUACCUUGAUUUUUUUCUUUAUUUUUCUUAUUUUAUUAUAUUGCAAUAUGUCGAUUGAUGUCAUUUCAUCAUUGAUACGAUUGUGGCCCACAACAUAGAAUAAGAAAUCCCAUUUGAUAUCUUCUAUCAAUUUAACAAAAGCCCUAAAAAU